CAGCAUCCUCAGGAGCCCUCCUGCAAGGCCACAAAGAUGAACCGGCUCUGCCUCUUUGCAGCCCUUCUCUUCCUCCUGGUUAUCCUGGUGGAGAGCACCCCGGACACCCAGGUCAUGAGAGCACUCAAGAAAGGCAACCAGGAAGCUUUCAGAUGGCAACACUGAUUCAGCCACCCUCCAGGGCAGGUCUGCAGUGCUCCUGGCACCCCCCACCCCCACCCGAGGCUUGAAAAACUCAUUUCCUUCUCGUUGGCCAUUCGGAUCAUGGGGACUACGGUUCCACAUUUUUUGGAAAAUCUUGGAUCUGUCUAGAUGACCGGUGUCCACGUCUGGAGCUGGAACUCAGCAAGAGGACAUGCAAAGAGUGGUCCCUGAAACUCUGAAGUCUGAGGAGGAUCCCUGCAGGACUGAGCCAUGGCUGCUUCUGAAACAGUCUCCUCUCAGUUCUUUCCCCUACCCUGCUCAGCAGAACCUGUCUAUUUCCUUUCCUCCAUGGGUCUACAUGUCUUAAUUCUGUCUCAUCCAGCUGUCUCCCAGCACCAUGAAAGCCAGCCUUGCCUUUAUCCCGAGUGCUUAGUGCAGUUCCUGACACCAAGGAGACAGUUCAUAAUUCUUUAAGGAAGGAAGGAAUGCUGGAUGGAGCACAUUCCUCAUGCCCACAGUGACUACAGAGCCUGUCGUUUGAUGACAGGACUUUUGUUUUCACCAGCAUCCUCACAGCAUCCUCACCGUCAUCCCCCUCCCCACCAUCACUGCCCUUCUUGUGGGUGGUCAUGGUGGAAUUUCCAGCCUCCAGUUCUCAGCAUCAAUCAUGAGACAAGGGUUUGGGAUAAAGAAGCUCCUUGACUGCACAAUGAUGUUACAAUUUUCUUUUCUGUAGCUUCAAACACUG